UGAUGUUAUUUUCGACCUCC
rnacentral:miRNA from 1 species